rnacentral:miRNA from 1 species
GUUGCACUGCAGCUGCUCUUGG